rnacentral:misc_RNA from 1 species
CUAAUUUGAAUAUCAUCUUUCCAUUGAUUAUCGAAAAAAGAGUAGACAUCAUCUUUAAUUAUCUAAUACAUUUCUGUAAAGAGAGAUUUGAUUGAUAAUUGGCAUUAUAAAACAAAUACAGCAACUCCAGCACCUGAAUUUGUGGGAGUCGAGUUAAUUCCGAGAGCUCGUAUAAAUCUCCUGCAAAAACUGAUAUACUGUAAAAGAAUCUGUGAGUAUGUUUUUAUGUGGAAAGUUGACAAAACCAUGUGAAGUAAAACAUUGAUUUGUUAUCCUGUCCCAUAUUUUUCCACGUGGAGACGCUCUCAUUGAAUUGUAGUUUCCAGAUCGCCUCUGCAUAACGCUUCCUUAAAAUAAUUGAACAGAGUUUAUAUCUCAUCAGAGAUUGGGUUUCAUUUUUAUGCUACUUCUUGUUUUUUCGCCUUCUCAGCCUCAAGCCUCCUUAACGUAGUAGAACUGAUCUUAUCUCCACUAGAUUCUUCAGAAACUAGAUCUACAACUUCAAUCUGCACAAGAUCCAUACUUCAAGGGUCUAAUCUUACAAUAUUUUAAAGAACCAUACAAGUAUUUUUACAAUUUCAUAUUAGACAUCUUAGUACAUGCAAACAUGCAUGAACUGGAAACUCAAACCUUUAGAAGUGGCAAGCCCUUGUCAGCCCUCUUCUUAUUAACAGACAGCCCACCUGGUACUGUCUCCUUGCUGCCUCAAAACCAACAAUUGGUCAAAAUUCAAAAAUAAUUCUACCACAUUUUAAAGGUGGAGUAUAAAGAAUAUAACAAGCCCCCUAGAGUAAGUUAAAGUUGCAUAGUUAAUGUUUACUUCCCUUUAUUUUACAGAAAUCAAGUUUAAUGACCACAAAUGCCAUUACAACAAUUGAAAUUUUAAGCAACUGGGCAGGCAUGAUCUAUAUCAACUCCUAGGCAACACAGAAUAGGACCAAAUUAAUAACUAUAAUAAUUCAAUAGCAUACAGAAUAAUAUGAUGAAGACGAUGAUUAAGGCCCUGAUGAAAACCAAGAAAACAUAAGAAACAAAUGAAAGAACUGACCUCACAACUAUAGCCUCCAAGUUUUCAUCAACAAUUGAAGGUCCAUAUGGAUCAAUAAUAGGUUCAACUUGCACUACAAGUUCUGGUUUAAUAGACUGCACAAAGAUUUGAAAGAAAACAGAUGAUCAUUCGCCAAUCAUAAAAUGGGGCAAAAAGGCUUCUUAGAGAUGCAAGAAUGCCAACUGCCAAAUGAAUCCACCUUGACCAUUACACUGUAUAUUAACUUUAGAUUCCAUGGAUGACUGUUCACAUCAUUUACAAUUUUGCUACCUGGUCUAGAGCCAAUUCCAGUUUCAAUUAAAAAAUAUAAAACACUGGCAUUAGCUGCUCUCCAUUAUCAUAUUACAAAUCAUUUUUUUCAUACAAUGCAGACGGUCAUCAGUCUAAAAGAUACCAAGACAUCAGGAGAAGGAUAAUGGAAAACGCAAGAAUCACAAUAGAUUAACCUCUCAUGCAUCCCUUGACACAUCACUCAUUACUGUUGUUGGAAAUCAACUCUUUGUCUAGUUUAUGAAACUAGCCCCCACAUUUCAUGAAGAAAAAAAGAAGCACAAAGCAUUGUUUUUUAAUAGAAACUUUGAAAAUGAAAAACAGAACAUUCUUCGUCUUGCUUAAUACCUUGAUGUAAUUUUCAACACUCCGCAUCCUUUCCUCAAUUGACUGUAUCAAGUCAGCAAACUGCAGAAGCAGAAAUUUCUAAUCACUAUAAAUCUCUACUGCAUGACAGAGAAGGUACAUUCGAAUCAUAAAAGCAUUUGCUUUGCAUUGCAUAUAACAAUGAAUUCAUAGCAGCCACAAGAGUUCAGUACGCAUAGCAGUCCCUAAGGGCCAAGAAAAAAACAUAUUAUUUUCAUUGUUGGUUAAAUAAAAUCACAGUGAUCAUUAUAACUUUUCAGGUAAAUUAAUAUUAAAACAAGUUAAAAUUAUUGAAUAGUACCGGCUUCUAAUCUAAGGGCUGACCGCAAGAUAGGUCUCAGAUAAUUGAACAAAAAGGAUAAGAAAACCACCCUGAAAUGAACAGCAAUAAUAUUCUAAUGAUUAUGGAUAUUUUGUUCAAACUGGGGAUUUGUAACUCAAUACCUGACAAAAAAUGGACUGUGAGGUAUGUAUUCUGAUUUGGUCGAUUAGCUCUACUAUAUGAAUCUCAGCUACUCGAGAAAAUGCAAAACACACAACAGAAAUUUCAAAGAUAGAACUCUUAACACAUGAGGCUAACAAGUCGAACGCACAGAAUAAUUGAGAACCGCAAUGGCCAAACGACUUGGGACUACCAAAACAAAAAGAGCUACUCUCGGGUGAUGGUAUGUGGCCCGCACAUGGAGUUCUUGGUUACUUGAAACGUGUAACCUUAAAGAGGAAGGUCAUAAAAGCUCACCAACUGGAGUAGCUAAGGAAGCCA